rnacentral:tRNA from 1 species
AUGAGUCUGUCUCAGUGGUAGAGCACCUGCCUAGCAUGUGUGAGGACCUGGGUUCGAUUUCCAGCACCAUA